rnacentral:rRNA from 1 species
CCUGGUUGAUCCUGCCAGUAGUCAUAUGCUUGUCUCAAAGAUUAAGCCAUGCAUGUGUAAGUAUGAACAAAUUCAGACCGUGAAACUGCGAAUGGCUUAUUAAAUCAGUUAUAGUUUGUUUGAUGGUAUCUACUACUCGGAUUACCCUAGUAAUUCUAGAGCUAAUACGUGCAACAAACCCCGACUUCUGGAAGAGAUGCAAUUAUUAGAUAAAAGGUCGACGCAGGCUCUGCCUAUUGCUGUGAUGAUUCAUGAUAACUCAACGGAUCGCAUGGCCAUCGUGCCGGCGAUGCAUCAUUCAAAUUUCUGCCCUAUCAACUUUCGAUGGUAGGAUAGUGGCCUACCAUGGUAGUGAUGGGUGACGGAGAAUUAGGGUUUGAUUUCUUAGAGGGAGCCUGAGAAACGGCUACCACAUCCAAGGAAGGCUGCAGGCGCUCAAAUUACCCAAUCCUGACACGAGGAGGUAGUGACAAUAAAUAACAAUACCGGGCUCAAUAAGUCUGGUAAUUGAAGAAAUUAGAGUGUUCAAAGCAAGCCUACGCUCUGUAUACAUUAGCAUGGGAUAACAUUAUAGGAUUUCAGUCCUAUUACGUUGGCCUUCGGGAUCGGAGUAAUGAUUAACACGGACAGUCGGGGGCAUUCGUAUUUCAUAGUCAGAGGUGAAAUUCUUGGAUUUAUGAAAGACGAACAGAUGCGAAAGCAUUUGCCAAGAAUGUUUUCAUUAAUCAAGAAUGAAAGUUGGGGGCUCGAAGGCAAUCAGAUACCCUUCUAUUCUUAACCAUAAACGAUGCCGACCAGGGAUCAGCGGAUGUUGCUUUUAGUACUCCACCGACACCCUAUGAGAAAUCAAAGUUUUGGGUUACGAGGGGAGUAUGGUCGCAUGGCUGAAACUUAAAGGAAUUGACGGAAGGGCACCACCAGGAGUUGAGCCUGCGACUUCAUUUGACUCAACACGGGGAAACUUACCAGGUCCAUACAUAGUAAGGAUUGACAGACUGAGAGCUCUUUCUUGAUUCUAUGGGUGGUGGAGCAUGGCCGUUCUUAGUUGGUGGAGCGAUUAGUAUGGUUAAUUCCGUUAACGAACGAGACCUCAGCCUGCUAAGUAACUAUGUGGAGGUAUCCCUUCGCGGCCAGCUUGUUAGAGGGACUACGACCUUUUAGGCCACGGAAGUUUGAGGCAAUAACAGGUCUAUGAUGCCCUUAGAUGUUUUUGGCCGCACGCGCACUACACUGAUGAAUUCAACGAGUUUAAAGCCUUGGUCGACAGGCUCGGGUAAUCUUUGAAAUUUCAUCGUGAUGGGGAUAGAUCAUUGAAAUUGUUGGUCUUCAACGAGGAAUUCCUAGUAAGCGCGAGUCAUCAGCUCGCGCUGACUACGUCCCUGCCCUUUGUACACACCGCCCGUCACUCUUACCGAUUGAAUGAUCCGGUGAAAUGUUCGGAUCGCGUCGACGUGGGCGGUUCGUUGCACGCGACGUCGUGAGAAGUCCAUUGAACAUUAUCAUUUAGAGGAAGGAGAAGUCGUUACAAGGUUUCCGUAGGUGAACCUGCGGAAG